rnacentral:tRNA from 1 species
ACUUGUAGCUCAGUCGGUUAGAGCAACAGACUCAUAAUCUGGAGGUCCCUGGUUCAAGCCCAGGCUGG